GAUGAACGCUAGCGGCAGGCUUAAUACAUGCAAGUCGAGGGGCAGCAUGAUUGUAGCAAUACAAUUGAUGGCGACCGGCAAACGGGUGCGGAACACGUACACAACCUUCCAACAAGUGGGGGAUAGCCCAGAGAAAUUUGGAUUAAUACCCCGUAACAUAGCGAUGUGGCAUCACAUUGCUAUUAUAGAUUUUUCGCUUGUUGAUGGGUGUGCGGCUGAUUAGAUAGUUGGCGGGGUAACGGCCCACCAAGUCUACGAUCAGUAGCUGAUGGGAGAGCAGGAGCAGCCACACCGGGACUGGGACACGGGCCCGACUCCUACGGGAGGCAGCAGUAAGGAAUAUUGGACAAUGGACGCAAGUCUGAUCCAGCCAUGCCGCGUGAAGGAUUAAGGUCCUCUGGAUUGUAAACUUCUUUUAUAAGGGACGAAAAAAGGCUUUUCUAAGUCGUCUGACGGUACCUUAUGAAUAAGCACCGGCUAACUCCGUGCCAGCCGCCGCCGUAAAAC
rnacentral:rRNA from 1 species